AAUCAACGCUGGCGGCGUGCCUCAGACAUGCAAGUCGAACGCGAAAGUUUCCUUCGGGAGAUGAGUAGAGUGGCGCACGGGUGAGUAACACGUGAGUAAUUUACCUUCGGGUGGGGAAUACUAACCGGAAACGGUUGUUAAUACCGCAUAAUGCAGCGGCAUCAAUGAUGACAGUUGUUAAAGCGGGGGAUUGGAGCAAUCCGACCUCGCGCCUGAAGAGAAGCUCGCGGCAGAUUAGCUAGUUGGUAAGGUAAUGGCUUACCAAGGCGACGAUCUGUAACCGGCCUGAGAGGGGCGGUC
rnacentral:rRNA from 1 species